UACGGGGGGAGCAAGCGUUGUUCGGAUUUACUGGGCGUAAAGGGCGCGUAGGCGGUCGUGACAAGUCACUUGUGAAAUCUCCGGGCUUAACUCGGAACGGUCAAGUGAUACUGUCGGACUAGAGUACAGAAGGGGCAACUGGAAUUCUCGGUGUAGCGGUGAAAUGCGUAGAUAUCGAGAGGAACACCUGCGGCGAAGGCGGGUUGCUGGGCCGACACUGACGCUGACAGCGCGAAAGCUAGGGGAGCGAACGGG
rnacentral:rRNA from 1 species